rnacentral:rRNA from 1 species
AGAGUGAACGCUGGCGGCAGGCCUGAUACAUGCAAGUCGAACGGCAGCACAGCAGAGCUUGCUCUGUGGGUGGCGAGUGGCGGACGGGUGAGGAAUACAUGGGAAUCUGCCCAGUCGUGGGGGAUAACGUAGGGAAACUUACGCUAAUACCGCAUGCGCCCUUCGGGGGAAAGCCGGGGACCUUCGGGCCUGGCGCGAUUGGAUGAGCCCAUGUCGGAUUAGCUAGGUUGGCGGGGUAACGGCCCACC